GACGUAGGGCGCGAGCGUUGUCCGGAUUUAUUGGGCGUAAAGAGCUCGUAGGCGGCUUGUUGCGUCGACUGUGAAAACCCGCGGCUUAACUGCGGGCUUGCAGUUGAUACGGGCAGGCUAGAGUUCGGUAGGGGAGAAUGGAAUUCCCGGUGUAGCGGUGAAAUGCGUAGAUAUCUGGAGGAACACCGGUGGCGAAGGCGGCAUCCUGGACCGGUAUUGACGCUGAGGCGCGAAAGCCAGGGGAGCAAACGGG
rnacentral:rRNA from 1 species